rnacentral:tRNA from 1 species
AGCACGAUGGCUGAGAGGUUAAGGCGUUGGACUUGAGUUCCAAUGGACAGUUGUCCGCGUGUGUUCGAACCCCACUCGUGCUA